UCAUGGUGCAAUGGCGGACUCAAAGGCACGACUCAGACAGGGAAUCACAGGUAAUGGUCUUUGUUGUUC